rnacentral:lncRNA from 1 species
AUUCAAUCUGCAUUUAUUUGUUUCUUGACAGAAGAAGAUAAAGUAAUAGCAGUGCUCUGUUUUCUUUCUAGCCAGGAAUAGAUAGCUGCAGUUUACCCUCUGGUGUAAACUGUGCAGGGUUUCGUGGUGUUUCAGAUGAAUGAUGCUGCUGCUCUCUGAAAGUAAAUCCUGGUGUCCUGGAGUGAGUCUCAGGUUGUUCUGCUGUUUGUUUCUGUAGCAGCCCAGGAAAGAAGUGCAUCAAGCCAGAUUUAUCUUCUUGCUAAUGCCAGAAGUGGCUGUGGCAGAGACAGACGAGUGGUUGUGACCUGUGAGUUACUUGUGCCUGAAUCCAAGAAUUCCACAGUUAAUUAAGGAAGUGAAAAUGAAGCAGUGGAAGAACCUGACACUGCAGAACAAACAGUUUGCAAGAAGGAAAUGUUUCAUGUAGACAUUGAAGAAUAACUUUGUGACCCUAUGGGUUAUCUUUCCGAGCAGCCAGACAGACAUGCGAGAUGAUGACAGAGAGACUUUCAGUCUCCGUGCCCACGUGAUGCUUGGAAGGGACCUCUUCCCCCUCACCAGAGAGCAAUGUAGACUGCCAGACCCAGUGUCUCAUAGACUGCAAGCAGGGACAUUACUACACAGCUGGCAACUGCUUGGAAUGUCCUACAGGCUUCUAGUAAGUCUCCUUCCUUCCCUCUCUCUCAGAGCUUCUGCAAUAAGCAAGUU